rnacentral:lncRNA from 1 species
UUCAAGGGUUCUAAAUUGCUCGAGUUUAGAAAUGGCUGAGCUCCACUGACCUGGCAUGUUGAUGACGGACUUUGAGCAAGCAUUGGCCCUCUUGAGAUGACACCUGACCCCUAACGUCAGAUCGAAUGAAGUGAUGGUAAGGAAUAGUUGAACAAAUAAUAUAUUAGGAACUUUCAUGGUAAAGAAUACAAGGCCUUACAGGCGCAAAUAAGACCCCUCUGAAUAUCUUUCCAUUAACAUUUGCUGUCACCAGGAAACCGGAGUCGAAGGCCCCAUCGACCUUACCUCGAACUUCAGCACCAAGCUGAGGAUAAAAAUCUCCCAAUGUGAAGCGUGAGCAAGUGGACAUACAU